ACUCCUACGGGAGGCAGCAGUGGGGAAUAUUGCACAAUGGGCGCAAGCCUGAUGCAGCCAUGCCGCGUGUAUGAAGAAGGCCUUCGGGUUGUAAAGUACUUUCAGCAGUGAGGAAGGUGGUGUCGUUAAUAGCGGCAUCAUUUGACGUUAGCGACAGAAGAAGCACCGGCUAACUCCGUGCCAGCAGCCGCGGUAAUACGGAGGGUGCGAGCGUUAAUCGGAAUUACUGGGCGUAAAGCGCAUGCAGGUGGUUUGUUAAGUCAGAUGUGAAAGCCCGGGGCUCAACCUCGGAAUAGCAUUUGAAACUGGCAGACUAGAGUACUGUAGAGGGGGGUAGAAUUUCAGGUGUAGCGGUGAAAUGCGUAGAGAUCUGAAGGAAUACCGGUGGCGAAGGCGGCCCCCUGGACAGAUACUGACACUCAGAUGCGAAAGCGUGGGGAGCAAACAGGAUUAGAUACCCUGGUAGGAUAGCG
rnacentral:rRNA from 1 species